rnacentral:rRNA from 1 species
UCGGUAAAAGAUGGGCCCGCAUCUGAUUAGCUAGUUGGUGAGAUAAUAGCCCACCAAGGCAACGAUCAGUAGCCGACCUGAGAGGGUGACCGGCCACAUUGGGACUGAGACACGGCCCAAACUCCUACGGGAGGCAGCAGUGGGGAAUAUUGCACAAUGGGCGAAAGCCUGAUGCAGCAACGCCGCGUGAAGGAAGACGGUUUUCGGAUUGUAAACUUCUAUCAAUAGGGAAGAAAGAAAUGACGGUACCUAAAUAAGAAGCCCCGGCUAACUACGUGCCAGCAGCCGCGGUAAUACGUAGGGGGCAAGCGUUAUCCGGAAUUACUGGGUGUAAAGGGAGAGUAGGCGGCAAGGUAAGCGAUAUGUGAAAGCCUUAAGCUUAACUUAAGGAUUGCAUAACGAACUAUCUAGCUAGAGUACAGGAGAGGAAAGCGGAAUUCCUAGUGUAGCGGUGAAAUGCGUAGAUAUUAGGAAGAACACCAGUGGCGAAGGCGGCUUUCUGGACUGAAACUGACGCUGAGGCUCGAAAGCGUGGGGAGCGAACAGGAUUAGAUACCCUGGUAGUCCACGCUGUAAACGAUGAGUGCUAGGUGUCGGGGAGGAAUUCCCGGUGCCGG